UACGUAGGGGGCAAGCGUUAUCCGGAUUUACUGGGUGUAAAGGGAGCGUAGACGGUUAAUCAAGUCAGAGGUGAAAACCCAGGGCUCAACCUUGGGACUGCUUUUGAAACUGAGUAGCUAGAGUGCAGGAGAGGUAAGCGGAAUUCCUAGUGUAGCGGUGAAAUGCGUAGAUAUUAGGAGGAACACCAGUGGCGAAGGCGGCUUACUGGACUGUAACUGACGUUGAGGCUCGAAAGCGUGGGGAGCAAACAGG
rnacentral:rRNA from 1 species